UUUGUAACAGUACUGUUGCACAAAUUCACAAAAGCUUCCCUCUUCUCGUUUUCAUAGCUUUCCCACCUCUUCCUCUUCUCCUCCCCGGAGGAGAGUGAGAGAGCGCAGAGAACACAGCUUUAGUAGAAAAAACCAAAAGCAAAUUCUUUCUCUGUGGGGCCUAGGGUUCGGCUUCCACCUUUGCUACGGUUCCUCGCUCCUCAUUCAGCUCCAGUUCUGCGCACACCAGGCGGAGAUCAACGUCGUUUUGCGGCUUGAUUCAACUCUUGGAAUAUUCACGUUUGUUCACAAAUCUGGGGGUUCUUUAUCGGCGUUUUCGUGGAGAAAAUUGUUCACUGAUUGAGAUAUUCAAGUUACUUUUCUUGAUGGUAUGCUCUAUCGGAAGUGGGAGAAUGGCAGUCAUGGCAAGGCUUCUUGCAGCUGGGACCUUCUCGCAAACAAUGGCAGAGGAAGUUGGGCGCCAGAAAUUAGCUGCUCAAGACAUCUGUAGAGAACUACGCGAUGCAGAUGAAGCAAAUUUGCUUGAUGAAGAAGAUAUGCAUGUCUUUGGUUUGAAGCCUAUGGCUGAACCUUUGCAUUUGGUAUGUUGCAAUGCUUGCAAGAAGCCUAUCAAGGCCAGUCAAUAUGCGGCUCAUGCAGGACUAUGUAGGUCACUAAAUUCUGCAGAAGAAAAUAUUUUGGAGCUUGAUGGCAGUGCGGGGAGCAGGAAACCUCCAAGGAAGGAGAGGAAAAAGUUACUAACUGCUUAUGCUAACCAAAUUACUCCAGUUGGGGAGCGAGAAAAGUCUCAACCCAUAGAUGCUGAUGAUGCUACUGCAUCAGAAUCUCAAUUGGACAAUCAAAUUGGAGUGGCUUCCUUCGCCCUGGAUGCAAAACGAAAUUCAGCCUGUGUAGAUGUGGGAUCUAUGAUGGAUGUUUCAGGAGUUUGUCCUGGAAAUAUGGACCACCCAGCUUGUGUAAUGCUGCCUCCAACAAAACGUUCUAAAUUGAUAGCAGCUGGGCAUCAACUUCUGUUAGAUGAUCUAGAAAUGGCAUCUGGUGUUACAAAAAUCACAAAUAUUCCAGUUCCUCUUGCUACGAAAAUGUACUACUCACAAAGAAAUAAUCGUCACCGAUCAGCAGUUACUCAUCUUUACUGUGAGGCAUCAACUAAGGAACAUUGCAGUGACAUGGUGAGUUCAAAAAUAUCACAAGAGAACAUGAUUCCAUCACAGUCUUCAUCUCCAAGGGACUCUUCGGUUGAACCAAUGGAUGAGAUGCUCAACAGGAAGAGACAUACAUACACAAUGUCUUCUGUGCGAAGUCCUGAUCAAAUUCUUGCACAAAGUUCAGAUGUAUGCUUGGGUAAAACUGGAGGGUUCCUCUCAGCCGGUAACUUCUCAAAUCAGUUUCCUGUUGAUAAUGCUCUGAGGCCUGAGGCAGCUUCUGUUGGAUUGACGAGAAGCAAAUAUGUUUCAAAGCCUUAUUCUUUUGCAGGCAACUCAGGAAAACCACUGGGGACCAUGCAGCAGCCAAAUGGAAGUGUUCCUGUUAUAUAGGAGUCCUGGUGGGAUUUUCGCUAGGCAAAGGUGUAAUUAAACCCGAUACAUGAGAUCUUCUGGGGUCUCAUAACUAAUAAGAUCAUAAAGGAAGAACAUGCUGAUGUCUGGGAUUCAAGAUCCUGCUGAGUUCCCAUCACUGUUGAGCAACCCGAACCGUUAGAAUCUAACGACUGGAGGUAUGUUUUGAAAUGAAAUAUUUUCUCCUGUUUGGAGGGUUGGUAAUGCGGGUAAGCUAGUUAAAGUUGCAGAAUAUGGAGGGAUGGACUUCUGUACUGACUCUCUCUUAAACCCUGUGGCAAAACUCACAUAAAAGGUGUUUUAUAUAUUUGUAUAAUGUCAUUGAUGAUGGCAGCAUCUGAAGGAAUCUCAAGUUGAAUGCUAUGAAUGAAUAUACAUAUACGUCCUUUUUGUUGUGGCAUUUCAAGGUUUGGUGGAAGUGCGGUGUUGGUGCUCCAAUUCAAGGAGAUAUCAAGUAGGAAUCUUGAGCAGUCUGGGACCUGGUAUGCUGCCACUCGCAAUUAUGCAAUGAAGUGGCAUAAGACUAAUGCGUUACAGCAACAGACUCGGACAGGUUCUUGUCUCUAUGCUAGGGGAUUUGUUUAUGUUUGAGGCUUAAUAUUCGCUAUCUGAUGUUAAAAGUGGUCGAGCACA